rnacentral:rRNA from 1 species
AGAGUUUGAUCAUGGCUCAGAGUGAACGCUGGCGGCGUGCCUCAGACAUGCAAGUCGUACGAGAAAGUUCCGCAAGGAAUGAGUACAGUGGCGCACGGGUGAGUAAUACUUAGGUAAUGUACAGUUUCGCUGGGGAUAACGAGGGGAAACUCUCGCUAAUACCGAAUGCUCCGCGAGAAUCUUCGGAUUCUUUCGGGAAAGCCGUAAGGCGCGAAACGAUCAGCCUAAGUCCCAUUAGCUAGUUGGUAGGGUAAUGGCCUACCAAGGCUUCGAUGGGUAGCUGAUUUGAGAGAAUGAUCAGCCACACUGGAACUGGAACACGGUCCAGACUCCUACGGGAGGCAGCAGUUAGGAAUCUUGCACAAUGGGCGAAAGCCUGAUGCAGCGACGCCGCGUGAGGGAUGAAGGCCUUCGGGUUGUAAACCUCUUUUAGUUGGGAAGAAAAAAAUGACGGUACCGACAGAAAAAGCACCGGCUAACUCCGUGCCAGCAGCCGCGGUAAUACGGAGGGUGCAAGCGUUACUCGGAAUUACUGGGCGUAAAGCGCGUGUAGGUGGCUUCAUAAGUCUAGUGUGAAAGCCCAGGGCUCAACCCUGGAAGUGCAUUGGAUACUGUGAGGCUGGAGUAUGGGAGAGGAGAGUGGAAUUCCUGGUGUAGAGGUGAAAUUCGUAGAUAUCAGGAGGAACACCGGCGGCGAAGGCGGCUCUCUGGACCAUUACUGACACUGAGAUGCGAAAGCGUGGGGAGCCAACAGGAUUAGAUACCCUAGUAGUCC